rnacentral:rRNA from 1 species
AAAUUGAAGAGUUUGAUCAUGGCUCAGAUUGAACGCUGGCGGCAGGCCUAACACAUGCAAGUCGAACGGUAACAGGAAACAGCUUGCUGUUUCGCUGACGAGUGGCGGACGGGUGAGUAAUGUCUGGGAAACUGCCUGAUGGAGGGGGAUAACUACUGGAAACGGUAGCUAAUACCGCAUAACGUCGCAAGGCCAAAGAGGGGGACCUUCGGGCCUCUUGCCAUCGGAUGUGCCCAGAUGGGAUUAGCUAGUAGGUGGGGUAACGGCUCACC